GAUGAACGCUAGCGGCAGGCUUAACACAUGCAAGUCGAGGGGCAGCAUGAGACGGAGAUUCGUCGAAGUCUUGAUGGCGACCGGCGCAAGGGUGCGUAACGCGUGAGCAACUUGCCCGUUUCUGGGGCAUAACCGGUGGAAACGCCGACUAAUUCCCCAUAGUAUUGAUUCCAGGCAUCUGUUAUCAAUUAAGAAUUUCGGAAACGGAUAGGCUCGCGUGACAUUAGCUAGACGGCGGGGUAACGGCCCACCGUGGCGACGAUGUCUAGGGGUUCUGAGAGGAAGGUCCCCCACACUGGAACUGAGACACGGUCCAGACUCCUACGGGAGGCAGCAGUGAGGAAUAUUGGUCAAUGGUCAGACGACUGAACCAGCCAUGCCGCGUGAAGGUCACGGCCCUAUGGGUCUUAAACUUCUUUUGCAAGGGAGCAAUAAGCCUCACGUGUGGGGCGAUGAGAGUACCUUGCGAAUAAGCAUCGGCUAACUCCGUGCCAG
rnacentral:rRNA from 1 species